rnacentral:lncRNA from 1 species
AAACAACAUUUUCAUGCGAACCAAAUGUGACUAGAGUGGUGAUGCUUUCAGUUAUCAUCACGGUUCUUUAAGUUUCGUGAUGCUUCAAGUGACCAUGUGAUAGUCCAGAAACCCAUCACGGUUCUUAAAGUGACAUUAGAACCCGUUAUGACUAUCAGUGUUCUUGGUGACUGUGAUGCCUUCACAGAUGUAAGACUACCCUGAAGGGUAUUUUCAUCAAAACGACGCAAAUAAUAGAGAAAAGAGGUAUGAAUAAGGUUAUAAAUAAAAUUGAUGUUUAUUUCUAAUAAUCUAAAACAAUGCAUAUUUUUUAUAAUUUCUUUGAUUUUUUUAAAAAGGCAUAUUCAAUUAUAGAAAGUUUGUAAGAAGAGAGAGAUUUUGAUUAUUCAAUAAUAAUAAUUAUUCUUAUAUUUACGAUAUACUAUUUUUCAUAUUCUCAAUGAUAUUAUUUUCUAACCUACUAAAAAUUAUUAUCAAUCAUAUAAGUAAAUAUGCUUCUAAAAAUAAAAUACAAAAAUAUAUCUCAUAAACUUCAAAAUAUGAUUAUAAUUCUAUUUAUAACUUGCAUUUUGAGAUAAUUUCAUUUAUAUAAUUUGGACAGAAUUAGUGACAAGAAAUAUGAUAAUUUAUGGUCUCAUUGAUAGGAUCGCCCAUGACAGAGCAUAAUGGAGGAACAAGAUUUGUGCAGCCGAUUAAAUCGUUGGGAUAAGGCCG